AGAGAGAGAAGAAACCCGAAGAAGAAAUAAAGGAAGGCAUUUUGGUUCCCCAUCGGACGGAUCGGAGUUGGCGAGCGGCGGAGGAAACCCUAGCCUACAUCAGAGAAGAAGACCAGGCGGCUACCGAUGGCGGCGCUUCGAGUCGCGGCGAGGAGGCUCGUCGGCGGCGGCCAGACGCCGGCGGUGGCUGUGGACAAGGCGCAGCGCCGGCUCUUCCCGAGGCUCUCCCAGGUCGGCCGGGCUAGGUCCACCACAUCCUCCGCCAAACUCCACCACAUCCUUAUGCUGUGCUAAUAGCUCGUUCGAUAAUCCAACUCCAUGUUUCGCCAAACAGCCAGGGCAUCUCAAAAUUGAAUCCAGAUCUUGUGU